AGCAGCCGCGGUAAUUCCAGCUCCAAUAGCGUAUAUUAAAGUUGUUGCAGUUAAAAAGCUCGUAGUUGAAUUUCGAGAUCAAAUUGUUGGUCGUGCCUUGGUACGCACUGGCAUUUUUGGUUUCUCCCUUCUGACGAACCUUGAUGUCAUUAAUUUGGUGUCUUGGGAAAUCAGGACUGUUACUUUGAAAAAUUGAGUGUUUAAAGCAGGCUCACGCUUGAAUACAUUAGCAUGGAAUAAUGAAAUAGGACGUUUGAUUCUAUUUUGUUGGUUCUAGGAUCGACGUAAUGAUUAGUAGGAUAGUUGGGG
rnacentral:rRNA from 1 species